AGUCGUACCUUAUACAGGAGCGGCUUAAACCUCUGCUCAAGUUCACGCCAGUGUGGGUCGAUAAGCGUACUAUUCAAGCCUUUCAUACUAUCAGUACCUUUGCGUAACCGCCAUCUCUUUAUUUUUGUCGUUCGCUGGAGGCACUACAGCAGCCAUCAGUGCUUUCCUACGAUGUCCUAUAGCCUAUAUAGGUCGGCUACGCUUCGUUUCCGACAAGGGUAUCCCACCAACGCAGCCUUUACAGAACGCCCUUGUCGUAUGCCUGAGCAAGCUACGUCGAGCAGGCUAUACAAGUGAGCGAUAAGAAACGCGAUCGCGAGGGAGAGAACAUGUAAACGCUCGACAGCUGGGCAACGUAAAGGCAAUGUUUGCUUAGUGCAGUGUGGCAGGUCUACUACAGAAGACAACGCUUCGUCAACCGGCAGCCUCCUCUUCGGUGGCCUUUGAGCGAGGUUCUCGCGGCAAGUUUCAAGCGAGGUUUGGCAAGGUGCCGGCCUUCUUGGUGUCAUGUCCGUCAUCCAAACAGCUCGGUUUCGCUGGAGAUUCUUCUCUAUAUUCGCAGCCCCCGUGCUCUUCCUUCCAUUGGCAUUCAUCAUCGGAGGGAAGGCGGGUUGGUGUGCCUACGUAAUCCUGUGGAUGGCGUUCUAUUGGACGGCAGAAGUUAUCCCUCUCGCAAUCACGUCGCUCAUGCCUGUCGUGCUCUUUCCUCUGCUCGGCAUUCUUUCAUCCCAGCGGGUAUCAUCGUUCUAUUUUAACGAAGUUGGAAUCAUCUUGGUGUGCGCCAUGAUGCUGGGAGUUGCCGUAGAAACAAGCAACUUGCACAAACGGAUCGCGCUCAAGUCUUUACUCGCCAUUGGGACAAGUAAUCGCAGGCGAGUGUGUUCUCUGUCUUACGGUCGCGUGCCGAGUGAACUCACACGCCGGUGAGCUGUCGGCUGCAAGUGGUAA